ensembl:snoRNA
AUCCUGCUGUAGUUCAUAAGCGUGAUGAUUGGGUGUUCAUGCUAUUGUGGGAGAGGUGCCUCCCUCAAACCUUGUUAUGACAUGGGCACAUUACCUGUCUGACA